rnacentral:rRNA from 1 species
GUACACGCUGUGACUAGCAUAUCAAUAAGCGGAGGAAAAGAAACUAACAAGGAUUCCCCUAGUAACGGCGAGCUGAAGCGGGAAGAGCUCAAAUUUGAAAUCUUAAAGGGUUUCCCUCUACGAAUUGUAGUUUAAAGAAGUGUUUUCUGUUGAGGUUUUGGUAAAAGUUCUUUGGAAUAGGACAUCAUAGAGGGUGAGAAUCCCGUAUUUGACCUUUACUUUCAACUUUGUGAUACACUCUCAAAGAGUCGGAUUGUUUGGGAAUGCAGUCCAAAAUGGGUGGUAAAUUUCAUCUAAAGCUAAAUAUUGGCGAGAGACCGAUAGCGAACAAGUACCGUGAGGGAAAGAUGAAAAGAACUUUGAAAAGAGAGUUAAACAGUACGUGAAAUUGUCAAAAGGGAAGCGUUUGACACCAGUGUUGUUUUUCUGAAAAUCAAUUAAGGAACUGUUUAUGCUAAGCUGUUUAGACUUUAUCAGCUAACUGUUUAGUUUUGAGCUUUUCUUUAAUGCACUUUUCAGUUAACAAGUCAACAUUCAAUUUCUUUUGCUGUAAAAAAGCUUGAGGAAGGUGGCUUGAGAUUCGUCUUAAGUGUUUAUAGCCUCAUGCCUAUGCAGUCGGAGAGAUUGAGGGUCUGCAGCGUAGAUCCUUCGGGGCUAAAUGCAUUCGUGCUAAGUUAUAGCAUUUUAUAGACAACUUGUUGACUAUGAUUUGUCUUGUAGCUUACUCGCUUAUGUUAUUUUACCUACGCUUAGGAUGUUGACGCGCGUGUGUGCGUG